rnacentral:sRNA from 2 species
GUCAAAGCUAUGCCGAAUCCGCGCCUGAAUGACGCGGAACGGGGGAACCACAGGGGCCAAGUCGGCCCCGCGGGGCGAAUCGGACGUCUGAGUCCGUAGCGCGAUCUCUUUCAGCGCGAGCCCGUCAGCUAACUCCGUAGGCCGACGAAGGAGAUGGU